rnacentral:pre_miRNA from 1 species
UGAUAUGUCAAAGUAGUAGUGAAAUGUAUUAUUAAUUCAUAUCACAGCUAUCUUUGACAUGUCAAA